UUAAUUUCAGCUUGCCAUUUUCUCAUCUGUUGGUUUCUAAAUAUCCUCUCAACGGAAAAACAGACCACUUUUUAUCGUAGCUGAGGAUGUUGAGAGUGAUUCCUUAGCCAUGCUUAUUCUCAACAAGCAUCGAGCUGGACUUAAGGUGAUUAAUUAACUUUGUUUUGAAGUUUCUUAUAAGGUAAAUUGUGUUGGAUGGAAAAAAAAUUUCACAAGUGUCCAUUAUAUUGGUAUUGGUAUUCUGAUACAAAGCAAUAUAUAAGAACAUGCUUACACUACAUGAGUUACUUAUUUAUAUACAUACCAAUACAUACACAUGCAUGUCUUUUGUAUGUGUAAUGUUUAUUACGGGACAUAAAUAUUUCUGUUAAUGAAGGAAAGAAGACUAGUCGUUCAGCUCUCUCAUCACAUGCACUAGAGGAUAGAUGACACACAUUUUGUACAUUUUUCUUUUUCUGUUACUUGUUUAUUUAGCCUCCAGAAUUAGCUAGAAGAAUCCUUUUUAGUUUUCACAUUUCUCUUUCCAGUUUGUUAUACAAUAUGAACAGAAUAGGAUGCGUGUAUAUAAAAUCCCCCUCUGUAAAAGAAACAGUGUGAGAAGAAUUUCAACAAAUAGAUACGAGGCCUAUUCACCUAUCUCUUCCAUGAGUCGAUUGUUUUUCUUUUCAAGGUUUUGAUAAAACUUACAUGGUAUCAUAGCUUAGGCUAAUUAUUUUUCCUUUUCCAAUCAAAUCAUGGAAGAACAAUCCCCAACUUCACAAUCUGCAAAUACUCAAAACCCCAAACACGUUUCUCCUUAUUUCAACUUCACAGAUCCAAAUAGUCCCUAUUGUAUAGAGAAUGGUGACCACACAUCCUUGGUUCUCGUCACUGAACUGCUCACCACUGAAAACUACAUUACCUGGUCACGGGCAAUGCGUCGAGCACUUAGGGUGAAGAACAAACUUUGCUUCAUUUCUGGAAACAUUGUUAGGCCGGCGGAUAAGGAGGAUCCUCUGUUUGAAAUGUGGGAAAGGUGCAAUGAGAUGGUGGUUUCUUGGAUACAAAAUGCAGUCAGCAUCGAUAUCAAACAUACUCUGGCUUUUGUGGAUGAUGCUUAAAUGGUGUGGACAGAACUCGAGGAUCGCUUUACCCAACAGAAUGGUCCUCGCAUCUUCCAGCUUAAAAGAGAUUUGGCUACCCUUCGACAGGACAGAGACUUUGUGAGUACAUAUUUUGGUAAUCUCAAAACUCUUUAGGAUGAAAUGGUUGUUUAUAAUCCAAUGCCAUUAUGCACAUGUGGUUAGUUGAAAGUGUUGAAUGAAAAGUAUCAAAGAGAUUAUGUUAUACAGUUUCUUAUGUACCAAUGCUAGAGAUCAAAUCAUGCUGAUUGAGCCCCUUCCCAGCAUUAACAAGGUGUUCUCCUUGAUCCAACAACAAGAACAACACCACCAACUUACCAAUAACACCCUUUCUUGUGAAUCUAUGGCAUUGGCUGGUAAAUUUGUUAAUACUCCUUUCAAGACAAUUAACAGAAAUUUCACAAGCCACAAAAGAAAAACCAUACUGUCAACAUUGUCACACAAGGACACACUUGAAAAUUGCUAUAAGGCUGGAAAUGUUGAGCCUCUAGUGUGUUCUCACUGCAAUGUAAGUGGUAACAUAGUUGAGAAAUGUUACAAGCUUCAUGGGUAUCCCCUAGGUCACAAGCUGUACAGGGGAAGAGUCGCAAGUUCAUUUGCCAAUCAAGUUGUUCUGUCCACAAGUCUUAAUAAGGAGGAGGUGAGUGACGAGAAGAUGGUUUUCACCAAGGAGCAAUAUCGUCAUCUCAUGAGCCUUAUCCAACCCAAAAGUUUGCUAACUGCAAUCCCUCUAGCAAAUCAAACUUCAUCCAAUUCUAAAACCAGUGCCACACCUCCAAAGAUGUCUGGUAAAAUUAUGUUUUAUAGUGACAUUUUUGCUGAUUUUUUAAAGCUAAAUAGUGUUUCCUGGAUCAUUGACUCAGAGGCUACAGACCAUAUGGUGUGUAGUCCUUCCUUUUUUACUUCUGACAUUACAAAGGUAUCUUAUAGGGUAAGUUUGCCUAAUGACACUUUCGUAUCAGCCACACAUCUAGGCAACAUUCAACUUAUUGAUAAAAUUGUCCUUAAUGAUGUUUUAUGCAUUCCUUUAUUUUCCUUCAAUUUGAUCUCUGUUAAAAGACUCACUGAAAAUUUGACUUGUUGUUUGGUUUUCAUAAAUGAUACAUGUUUUAUACAGGACCUUUCAACCUGGACCACGAUUGGAAUUGUUGAAGUGAGAAGUGGCUUGUAUCAUCUCCUUCCUAAAGCAGUCCCUCCUUCAUCCUUGACCGAUCUUCUAUCAUGUUUGUCUCCAAAUUUUCCUUCAGUUGCUAUUUCUGUUAAAAGUAGUAUGGAUGUGAAUGGUCUUUGGCAUUGUCACCUCGAUCAUAUUUCUGAUUCACGAAUGAAAUUGAUUGACGAUCUUGUUGUAAGAGACAACUUACUUAUAAAUAAAACUUCUCCUUGUUGCAUUUGUCCUCUUGCCAAACAGCAUAGACUUUCUUUUCCUAUCAGCUCACACAAAUCUUCUAGUAUUUUUGAAUUGGUACACUGUGAUAUUUGGGGGUCAUGUUCCACCAAUGCUUAUGAUGGGUCAAGAUAAUUUUUGACCUUAGUAGAUGAUUUGUCUAGAACAACUUGGGUUUAUUUACUUCAAACCAAAUCUGAAACAAGAAAGUGCAUUGAAUCUUUCUACCACCUUGUAGAGACACCGUUCAACUAUAAAAUAAAAAAUAUACGUAGUGAUAAUAGUAUUGAGUUCAAGAUGAGUGAUUUUUACAAUGAAAAAAGGAUUAUUCACCAACAAACCUGUGUCGAGAUACCCCAACAAAAUGAGAUAGUUGAGAGAAAAUACCAACACUUUUUAAAUGUCGUUCGUGCACUGUUUUUCCAAUCUAAUCUUCUCUUAUCUUUUUGGAAUGAUUGUAUCUUGACUGCAGUCUACCUUAUAAACAGAACACCUACCCCUAUACUUAACAAUCGAACUCCCUAUGAAGUCCUUUUUAAUGUUAAACCACAUUAUUCUCAUUUGAAAAUCUUUGGAUGUCUUUGUUUUGCCACAAUCAUAUCAAAUGGGAGAAGGAAAUUUGAUCCGAGAGGUAGAAAAUGUAUUUUUCUAGGUUACCCUUUUGGAGUCGAGGGAUAUAAGCUGAUGGAUUUGAGUAGUAAGGUAGUUUUUCUUUCUAGGGAUGUCCUCUUUUAUAAAACACAUUUUCCUUUCAAAUCAUCCUCUCCCAUUAGUGAAGAACAUUCACCUUUCCAUUCCAUACCAGACACAGUAUUAGACUUGGAUUCUCACUGAUCUGCCUCCUGGAAAAGACGUUGUGGAUUGUAAGUAUGUCUACAAAAUCAAGAGAAAUUCAGAUGGCAGUGUGGAAAGAUUGAAGGCCAGAUUGGUCGCCAAGGGGUAUACUCAACAAGAAGGCAUCGAUUAUCAUGAGACUCUCUCCUGUAACAAAGAUGGUCACUGUGCGAUGCCUUCUAUCAGUUGUUGUUCAUGAUUGGCAUUUGCAUCAAUUUGAUGUAAAUAAUGCCUUCCUGCAUGGAGACCUAGAAGAAGAGAUUUACAUGAGAAAACCACCAGGAUACAAUAAAGGAACAACUGAACAGGCGUGUAAGCUCCUCAAAAGCUUGUAUGGUUUGAAAAAGGCCAACAGACAAUGGUAUCCCAAACUCACUUUGUGCUUGUUAAACUUUGGUUUCGCUCAAUCGAAAGCUGAGUACAGCUUGUUCACCAUGUCCACUAGCACUUCUUUCACAACCCUCUUUGUAUAUGUCGAUGACAUAAUUCUUGCCAGCAAUUCCAUGACCAACAUUGUUGCAGUCAAGGAUUGUUCGCAUGACAAGUUUAAGAUCAAGGACUUAGGUGUCUUGCGAUUUUUCCUUGGAAUAGAAAUGGCAAGAUCACCCAUGGGGAUUCUAGGUUGUAAACCAGUAAAGAUUCCUAUGGAACAAAAUUCAAGACUAAGCAAGGAUAUAGGUGACUGUUUGGUUGAUCCCUCAACAUAUCGAAGACUCAUUGGCAAAUUACUUUAUCUAACCAUUACAAGGCCUAACAUUAGUUAUCUAGUGUUAGUUCUGAGUCAGUUUAUGGAUAAACCUUCAUAGUCUCAUUUGACAGCUACUCACAAAGUUUUGCGGUGCAUCAAGUAUGCGCCUGGCCAAGGAUUAUUGUUGUCCGCUUCUUCAAACUUAGAGUUAAUUGCUUAUUAUGAUUCUGAUUGGGCUUCAUGCCCUAAUACUUGUCGCUCAAUUACAGGGUACUAUAUUUUAUUUGGAUAGUCUUUUAUUUCAUGGAAAUCUAAAAAGCAAAGCAUAGUAUCUCGGUCUUCUGCAGAGGCAGAAUACCGAGCCAUGGCUGCCAUGGUCUCUAAGCUCACUUGGCUUAGGUUUCUACUUACUGAUCUGCAUGUCGAGCACCCUCAUGCAGCCACCCUUUACUGUGAUAAUCAUGCUGCACUCCAUAUUGCCUCAAACCUAAUUUUACAUGAACGUACGAAGCACAUUGAGCUGGAUUGUCAUCUCAUCAGAGACAAAAUUUUGGAAGGAUUCAUUGUCACCAUGCAUGUUCCCACUCACUUUCAACGAGUUGACCUCCUUACGAAGGCACUUCCCUCUUCUCUUCUGCAAUCUCACUUACUCAAGCUAGGAAUUGUUAACCUACAUUCUCCAUCUUGUGGGGGUAUUACGGGACAUAAAUAUUUCUGUUAAUGAAGAAGGAAAGAAGACUAGUCGUUCAGCUCUCUCAUCACAUGCACGAGAGGAUAGAUGACACAUGUUUUGUACAUUCUUUUUUUUCUGUUACUUGUAUAUUUAGCCUCCAGAAUUAGCUAGAAGAAUCCUUUUUAGUUUUCACGUCUCUCUUUCCAGUUUGUUAUACAAUACGAACAGAAUAGGAUGCGUGUAUAUAAAAUCCCUCUCUAUAAAAGAAACAGUGUGAGAAGAAUUUCAACAAAUAGAUACAAGGCCUAUUCACCCAUCUCUUCCAUGAGUCGAUUGUUUUUCUUUUCAAGGUUUUGAUAAAACUUACAACGUUACUGAUUGAUUUGUGCAGCUGUCUGUUGCUUGCAUGCAUAAAUAGAAAGCUAAAUUAUGCUUUUGGCUCUUCUUGAAUUAUAGAUAUAUGUUGAAAGAGAGUUAAAUUCUGUGGCUUAGUUUUUUCUGAAUUAUGAGAAGACAUAACUUUCCUGUUGUUUGCUAAAACGAAAAGGGAAACUUGAGGCAAUUUGAAUCUUGCCAAAUCAAAAGCAGUAGUAUGACAUCCUCAGGUGCUUCAAUAAAAUUAAGGAGUUAAUAGUUCCCUACACAGACAUCCUCAAAUAGAAAGGAGUUUCAGGCUUAAUUCUAGCUUUAUUUGGACUCUAAAACACAUGGUCUGAUUUCAAAUGGGAAUUUUUGCCUUUUAAACAGCAACUGUCCUACAUGCUAUAUUUCAUAUGUACAUGAAAUAUACUCUACGUAAGGUAUGACUAUUUUGAUCUUGUACACGUAAUACUCAGCUACUUUUGUGUAACAAGACGUCAUAUUCAAUUAUUCAUUGCUCUUUUGGAAUUUACAUAUACUAUCUCACUGAUUGAAAUUAUUAUUUGUAGGUCUGUGCCAUUAAAGCUCCUGGUUUUGUGGAAAACAGACAAGCACAUUUGGAUGAUCUUGCUGUUUUAACUGGUGGAGAGGUUAUCAGUGAAAGUCGUGGUUUAACCCUUGAUCAAGUCCAAAUUGAAAUGCUUGGUCACAGUGUCACUUGAUGAUACAAUAGUUCUUCAUGGUUGCGGAGAUAAGAAAUUGAUUGAAGAAAGAUGUGAGCAGGUGCCCGAUGGUUUAAUGUUUCUGUUUCAUCUCUUUUCGAGAUUUCUUUAUAGUUAAGUCUACUAUGAAAAUAAUUCAUAUACUAUUUUUUAUUCUGAGGGAAUUUCUUUUGGAAUUAAAACGAUUCAGAUGUGCAUUGACAGGUUUUUGUAUGAAAUGAUCUUAAAAUUCCAGGAUUUUGAUUA